AACGAACGCUGGCGGCAUGCCUAACACAUGCAAGUCGAACGAGACCUUCGGGUCUAGUGGCGCACGGGUGCGUAACGCGUGGGAACCUGCCCUUAGGUUCGGAAUAACUCCCCGAAAGGGGUGCUAAUACCGGAUCAUGUCUUCGGACCAAAGAUUUAUCGCCUUUGGAGGGGCCCGCGUUGGAUUAGCUAGUUGGUAGGGUAAAAGCCUACCAAGGCGACGAUCCAUAGCUGGUUUGAGAGGAUGGUCAGCCACACUGGGACUGAGACACGGCCCAGACUCCUACGGGAGGCAGCAGUGGGGGAUAUUGGACAAUGGGCGAAAGCCUGAUCCAGCAAUGCCGCGUGAGUGAUGAAGGCCUUAGGGUUGUAAAGCUCUUUUACCCGGGAUGAUAAUGACAGUACCGGGAGAAUAAGCUCCGGCUAACUCCGUG
rnacentral:rRNA from 1 species